AGGGUUGUAGUUAAAUAUAACAUUUGGAUUGCAUACAAAAAGUAUUGAAAAUAAUCAAUCUUCCUUA
rnacentral:tRNA from 1 species